rnacentral:rRNA from 1 species
GCGAGUAAAGUGGCGCACGGGUGAGUAAUACGCGGGUAACCUGCCCUCGAGUUGGGGAUAACCUGCCGAAAGGCGGGCUAAUACCGGAUGACAUCCACUUGUCACGACGUAGUGGAUCAAAGGCCGCCUAGGCUCUGCAAGCGGCCGCUUGAGGAGGGGCUCGUGCCCUAUUAGCUUGUUGGUAGGGUAAUGGCCUACCAAGGCGACGAUAGGUAGCCGGCCUGAGAGGGUGAACGGCCACACUGGAACUGAGACACGGUCCAGACUCCUACGGGAGGCAGCAGUAGGGAAUUUUGCGCAAUGGGCGAAAGCCUGACGCAGCAACGCCGCGUGAGUGAUGAAGGCCUUCGGGUCGUAAAACUCUGUCGCUGAGAGAAGAAAUGCAUUGCCUUUAAUAGAGGUGAUGCUUGACGGUAUCUCAGGAGGAAGCCCCGGCCAACUCCGUGCCAGCAGCCGCGGUA